GACGUAGGAGGCGAGCGUUGUCCGGAGUUACUGGGCGUAAAGCGCGCGCAGGCGGCCCUGUGCGCUGCCGGUGAAAGCUCCCGGCUUACCUGGGAGAGGUUCGGCAGGACGGCAGGGCUGGAGGGUGGGAGAGGUCGGUGGAAUUCCCGGUGUAGUGGUGAAAUGCGUAGAGAUCCGGAGGAACACCAGUGGCGAAGGCGACACGCUGGGCCGUACCUGACACUGAUGCGCGACAGCAUGGGGAGCAAACAGG
rnacentral:rRNA from 1 species